rnacentral:rRNA from 1 species
UACGGGGGGGGCAAGCGUUGUUCGGAAUUACUGGGCGUAAAGGGCUCGUAGGCGGCCAACUAAGUCAGACGUGAAAUCCCUCGGCUUAACCGGGGAACUGCGUGUGAUACUGGCGGGCUUGAAUUCGGGAGAGGGAUGUGGAAUUCCGGGUGUAGCGGUGAAAUGCGUAGAUAUCUGGAGGAACACCGGUGGCGAAGGCGGCAUCCUGGACCGAGAUUGACGCUGAGGCGCGAAAGCUAGGGGAGCAAACGGG